CAGGGUUGGAACAUUCCGUGGUCCAGCAGUCAUCACCACAUGAAUACCUUGUGACUCUGUUCUUUGCGCUUUCUAGUUCCUGGAAUCUGGGUUGACUGGUUCCAGUAACUCAAGAAAGCACUUCAAGAGGCCAGCAGGGGCUGCUCUCUCAACUCCUGACUUAGGUUUUCUGCAGGAAAUCACGGCCAGGCCUAACAUCAACUGAAGUCUCCAAGAAGAAGAUGGGGCCCCACAACAGUAAUUCCACAUGGACAAUAAUAAUACCACUAAGCUGACAAACAUCAUCUACAGAUCAGCUUUGGACUACAAAGUGCUCAUAGCAAUUUUGAGGGGGCUAGCUGAGAUGAUCCAGUUUCAAAGACUACUUGAAUAAGGACUUGAGAUAAACCCUGAACUUCGGCAUUAUAUACAAACUGGACAACAAAGGAUAUAGCUACCUUUCCUAGAAUUUAACAAUUAAUCCAAAAUUUUUCUUUUCAGAAUAAAGAUACCUUCACCCAUA